GUGCUCCGGUGUUGGUCCGUGUGUGCAAGGGACGGCGCUUGAGAGCAGUGGUUUGGGUAGCGAGGAGGGUAGGGUAGAGAGCGCUCUUUUUAGGGGAUGGCGGUAGGUCUAGCCACUAGUGGAGUCCAGAGGAGGUGGUAAGCGGGCGGAGGGGGGGUUCCGGCACCGGACUGAGUAGGAGGGGAAGCGAGUGGCGUGAUCGCGUCCACGAGUACGGAAGGAUCGCGAGUUCGCGGCGGGUGCCCAUUUACUACCGAAGUCGGCGCAGUUGCUCCAGCUCCACAGGGACUGGGUCGGGAGUGGGAGUGGAAGUAGCCUCCGGAACGGGCAGAACUAUCCCAGCCAAUGAGAAAGGGAGGGGACAGGACGGGAGGGGACCUCCGCCGCUGUGUGAGGAGAGUAGAUAGAGGUCCCCUACGGGACGGGAGGGGACCGCACGACCCCUGGCUACUGGCACCCCUUACACUAGACCACCGCGGACAGCUUGUAGCUCUCCACCGUCUCGGGGCGGUGUGUGAACAGGGGGGAGGGAGGAGUCCUAGGAGUUAAAGAGUAGAUUUUCCAAAUACACCUACCUUGAUGGUGGUAUAGGUGGGUAGGAAAACCAAACCAGGACAGUACGACUGCGACAGAAAGUACUAGGAUAAUAGACGGAAAAUCAAAACUGAACACUACGACUGCGUGCAAAAGAAAGAUGUUGACACUAUAAAGGGAGGAAGCACCUACAUACGUUGACGUACUUACCCUGUUGCUUCGGCGACAGUACUUUUGACGUCUCACUACUGUCUCUAUGGCUCCACACUUUAUUUUCCGUUUACACUUCGAGAACGUAGUUAGGAGUCUGACUAAGGACGUUUAAAAGGAUGUCUUGAUGUUGUACCAUCAGAACUUCAUUUAUGAUAAAGACAAUAAAAGAUACACAAAAAUCGUGUUAUCUAUCAAUUAUAACAAAAAUGAGAAGUUCAAGUUCUACUCCAGUUGGUUAAUUCUUUUGUCAAACCACUCUAUCUCACCGUCCAAACGAUCUUAGUGACAUCGAAGAAGACCCUGCAAAAAGAAAAAACUCCUUUGAUAAAACAAAUGUGGUAGGAUAACCGUACAGAUACCGUAGUCACUUUGAAUUUGCUUGUGAAGAUCCGAUCUAUAAUAAUUCCACAUGUAUGUAACUGGGAAAUGUACCUAGAACGGUAUAAAUAAACGGUCAGUAAACUCGAUAAACUCUUUGAACUUCCGUUCGAGUUCCUUUAUGUAGUAAUGGAAAAUCAAAUAAAAACUCAACAACCUUAGUUAGACCUUUUGUAGUAGGAUAACAUCUAUGUUAUAAAUGACCAAAUAUCAGAAUAUGAGACAAACUGUAAUGUGUAAUGCCUUUAUCACUCUAAUACGAAUACGGUGACACGACUGUCUCUAACCGAAUAAUUAUCAUACCUCUCCUGUUCUAGCUUUUCCUGUCACUAUAUUCCUUUUGCCCCUCACCUUCUCCUUCUUUCAACCCUACUGUUAAUAUUUAUCUUAUAGCUCAAACUACUACUACUAUUAACCUUGGUUCUCCUCCUUCGUCCAUUCAAAGUAAACUAAAAGACAAGUAUACCGCCGAUUACACUGGUCUAUACAUUCAGACCUAACCAAAUGAAAGAACAUCCAAGAUGUGAAUGUCAAAAAUCAUGAACGAAGAACAACGGAGAGUCACAUAGUGAUUUAUUAGUCACAAAACCCAUGAACGAAGGACAACGGAGGGUCACAUAGUGAUUUAUUAGUCAACUGGUCACAACCGUUACCACGUAGCUAGGAUAAAUCAAGACCAAGACAUACGGAAGGGUCUAUGUUGAAUAUGGGUUUUUAUAAUCGUAUGUGUAACUAUAAUCAACACCCUCUGAGCCGAUACGGCCGUUACGGAGGUUACACCACCACCAGUACCACCUGCGGUGGUACACGUGAAGUCGAGUAGGCCCACAUCGGCCUCACUAAAGGAAGCGUCAAGUUCAGGCCCGUCAAAAAAUACACGUACAUUAGGGCAAAACGAACCAGGGAUCGUAAUAAUUAAAAUAAAAAGAUGGUUAUUGUUGGUUCAUUACACACGUACAGGUACAGAAUCACAUUAAGAGCCAAUCAAUCUAGAAUGGCUACGUACACGAAGCACCCUACGGUGCUUAGGUCACGUUCGUCGCAGCGUCACCGACCCAAGUCCACCUGUACCCUACCAAGUAGGCUAUAUGGAUGGGUGAUCGAUAAGAGAGAAAAAGUCAUCAUAAAAUUUGCUGUCAUCAACUGGUAUAUUUAUUCUCCUUUUUUGGUCUUUUCCAACGUUCUAAAAAUGCGUUACCUUUAGUAAACAAACGCACGAGCGCACACACAUCCGCGCGAACAAGAAAGUACAGGUUUAUGAACACAUCACAACACUCUCUCUAGGUCGUUGAAGUCAAAAACAGUACGUCAAGGAACUCAGUAUAUGUAGAGAACACAGUAAAUCUAUGUAGUACACAUGUCCCUCGUUCGCGGUGUAACGAUGUAAAUUACGAAACCACACGAGAGUGCGAGGUUCGGUAACAGGGUGUGAGGUUUGACGUAUAUAACUGACACUAUACUUUAACAUUAACGAGUAUUAAAUUUAAAAACUGUGUUCCGUCCUCGGUUCUUAUGAUCGAACGGACCCUCUUCUAUACAUUCUCUCAUAUAAUCAAAUGGAAAACUCCCUUCUCAUAUAUUAAAUUCUUAUUCCGUGUAGACACACUGUACCUUCGAGAAUUGUUACCAAUCGCAUACCAACGGUUCAAUAAAGAUACCAAGUAGAGUUUAACUCGCAGAACUAUGAAGUAUACUUUUAAACCAACAUUUUUAAACAAACGGUGUUCUGUGUGAAAAAACAUACUUUCUUUAUACAUAUUUUAAGGAGCUUCGUAACAGCUUUUCGUCCAAGCAUACAGACUCACAGACUGUACGGAAAGAAAAAGUCAAAAAGGACGGUCUUUCUUUCGUUCACUGAAUAAAUUAGAGUCUCUAUACAGGGACAAUAGUCAAAACUCCUCAGUAACAAGGUCAGUGUGUUUUACAACUGUCUACAUAGUAAAUGUUACUGGCAAGUUAACAUUAAAGUCACGGUACAGUAUUUUAAACUUAAGUGGUGAAGUCGGGGAAGGUAUUCCAUCAAGAGAAAGAUACUGGACUUUAGUGUUUUAGGUAACGGACACUAAAUCAGAAGAUAUGGUCGUAUCGUUUAACCGUUACAUUUACUAAUGGAUACCGCCACUUCAAUACACAUCGAUGUUUUAGAAAGAGACAGUCAGAGUUCCCCCGUUGUUCCAGUAGGUCAAACAAGUAAGUAAGUUAAGAAAAACGAAACGUCUAUAACGUAGUUUCCGGCCUUCACUUGGUACGUUAUGUAGUUAGAUUAUACUCAAUAUUAGCCGACUGGUACAUCCUACAUGGUUAACAUUACAUAAUGUGAGGUAUAAAGGAAUGUAAACACCGUACUUUAAAAAUAAGGAGAGUAAACAGGAAAAAAAACAAGACAGAGAAUUUAAGCACUUAACCUUCAAUACAACAAAGUCUACGAAUUACACGCUACUUCGUCUACCACAAGCCUUUAGGUCGUAGACUGAGGACCAAAACCAGAGUUCUGAUGUCAUUUUGUUACCUCGUUUGUACCAAGUGACGUUUUAAAUGAAUUAUGUUGAUGUCAAUAUUUAAAGACUCUGCUCCUUGUAUCAACUAGAAGUAAUCUAGAUAAGUUAAUGGGUCUUUUGGGUUAAAAAAUUAACAAGAAGUGUAAUCCACGGAUCUCAAAAUUCACAAAACGUGAACGUGGGACAUCGGUCGGAAACAAAUACACGAUAAGUCAGGUUGUUUUGUUUUACGAU
rnacentral:rRNA from 1 species